ACUCAAAUGAAUUGACGGGGGCCCGCACAAGCGGCGGAGCAUGCGGAUUAAUUCGAUGCAACGCGAAGAACCUUACCUGGGUUUGACAUGUACGGUGGUCCUGCAGUGAUGUGGGUUCCCUUUGGGGGUCGUAUGCAGGUGGUGCAUGGCUGUCGUCAGCUCGUGUCGUGAGAUGUUGGGUUAAGUCCCGCAACGAGCGCAACCCUUGUUCCAUGUUGCCAGCACGUUAUGGUGGGGACUCAUGGGAGACUGCCGGGGUUAACUCGGAGGAAGGUGGGGAUGACGUCAAGUCAUCAUGCCCCUUAUGUCCAGGGCUUCACGCAUGCUACAAUGGCCAGUACAGUGGGUUGCGAUACUGUGAGGUGGAGCGAAUCUCGUAAAGCUGGUCUCAGUUCGGAUCGGGGUCUGCAACUCGACCCCGUGAAGUCGGAGUCGCUAGUAAUCGCAGAUCAGCAUUGCUGCGGUGAAUACGUUCCCGGGCCUUGCACACACCGCCCGU
rnacentral:rRNA from 1 species